AUUGAACGCUGGCGGCAUGCUUUACACAUGCAAGUCGAACGGCAGCGCGGGCUUCGGCCUGGCGGCGAGUGGCGAACGGGCGAGUAAUGCAUCGGAACGUGCCCAGUAGUGGGGGAUAGCCCGGCGAAAGCCGGAUUAAUACCGCAUACGACCUGAGGGUGAAAGCGGGGGACCGAAAGGCCUCGCGCUAUUGGAGCGGCCGAUGUCGGAUUAGCUAGUUGGUGGGGUAAAGGCUUACCAAGGCGACGAUCCGUAGCUGGUCUGAGAGGACGACCAGCCACACUGGGACUGAGACACGGCCCAGACUCCUACGGGAGGCAGCAGUGGGGAAUUUUGGACAAUGGGGGCAACCCUGGUCCAGCCAUGCCGCGUGCGGGAAGAAGGCCUUCGGGUUGUAAACCGCUUUUGUUCGGGAAGAAAUACUCUGGGCUAAUACCCCGGGGGGAUGACGGUACCGGAAGAAUAAGCACCGGCUAACUACGUG
rnacentral:rRNA from 1 species